CGGACUGUUCAGACCUGGU
rnacentral:siRNA from 1 species